GCUGGUGUGGCUCAGUGGGCAGAGCGUCGGCCUGCGGACCAAAGGGUCCCGGGUUCGAUUCCCGGGCAAGGGCA
rfam:Myotis brandtii contig199570, whole genome shotgun sequence.